ACGGGUGAGUAAUGCGUAGGAAUCUGUCUUGUAGAUCGGGACAACCUGGGGAAACCUGGGCUAAUACCGGAUGCACUCGAGAGAGUAAAGCAGGGGACCUUCGGGCCUUGCGCUAUGAGGUGAGCCUACGUCGGAUUAGCUAGUUGGUGGGGUAAAGGCCUACCAAGGCGAUGAUCUGUAGCUGGUCUGAGAGGACGAACAGCCACACUGGGACUGAGACACGGCCCAGACUCCUACGGGAGGCAGCAGUGGGGAAUAUUGGACAAUGGGGGCAACCCUGAUCCAGCGAUGCCGCGUGUGUGAAGAAGGCCUUCGGGUUGUAAAGCACUUUCAGUUAGGAAGAGAGUUUGUGAGAGAAUAUCUUGCAGAUGAGACGUUACUAACAAAAGAAGCACCGGCUAACUCUGUGCCAGCAGCCGCGGUAAUACAGAGGGUGCGAGCGUUAAUCGGAGUGACUGGGCGUAAAGGGCAUGUAGGCGGUUAUAUUAGUCUGAUGUGAAAGACCUGGGCUUAACCCAGGAUAUGCAUUGGAGACGGUAUAGCUAGAGUUUGGGAGAGGGAAGUGGAAUUUCCGGUGUAGCGGUG
rnacentral:rRNA from 1 species